rnacentral:rRNA from 1 species
AGUGAACGCUGGCGGUAGGCCUAACACAUGCAAGUCGAACGGCAGCACAGGAGAGCUUGCUCUCUAGGUGGCGAGUGGCGGACGGGUGAGGAAUACAUCGGAAUCUACCCAGUCGUGGGGGAUAACGUAGGGAAACUUACGCUAAUACCGCAUACGACCUUCGGGUGAAAGAGGGGGAUCGCAAGACCUCUCGCGAUUGGAUGAGCCGAUGUCGGAUUAGCUAGUUAGCGGGGUAAUGGCCCACCAAGGCGACGAUCCGUAGCUGGUCUGAGAGGAUGAUCAGCCACACUGGAACUGAGACACGGUCCAGACUCCUACGGGAGGCAGCAGUGGGGAAUAUUGGACAAUGGGCGCAAGCCUGAUCCAGCCAUACCGCGUGGGUGAAGAAGGCCUUCGGGUUGUAAAGCCCUUUUGUUGGGAAAGAAAUCUUUCAGGCUAAUACCCUGGGAGGAUGACGGUACCCAAAGAAUAAGCACCGGCUAACUUCGUG